AACAGGAUAGCUCAGUUGGUAGAGCAUGAGACUCUUCAUCUCAGGGCCAUGGGUCCAAGCCCCUUGUUGGGUGA